rnacentral:rRNA from 1 species
GUUGCAGGAUUAAGUAAAUAAGCGUAUAUGGUGGAUGCCUUGGCAGUCAGAGGCGAUGAAGGACGUACUAAUCUGCGAAAAGUAUCGGGUAGCUGAUAAGAAGCGAUUAAUCCGGUAAUAUCCGAAUGGGGAAACCCGAUAUAUUAAAAAUAUAUCAUUUCUAUUUGAAUCUAUAGAGUAGAAAAGCAAACCAAGAGAACUGAAACAUCUAAGUAUCUUGAGGAAAAGAAAUCAACCGAGAUUCCCUAAGUAGUGGCGAGCGAAAGGGGAAAAGCCUAGAGAACUAAUCUUUAAAUAAAUUUUAGUAGAAUGAUUUGGAAAAAUCAGCUAUAAAAAGUGAUAGCCUUGUAUACAAAAAAAAAUAUUUAAAGAUCUCAAAAAGUAGAGCGAGACACGAGAAAUCUUGUUUGAAGAUGGGGGGACCAUCCUCCAAGGCUAAAUACUCCUGACUGACCGAUAGUGAACUAGUACCGUAAGGGAAAGGCGAAAAGAACCCCGGUUAGGGGAGUGAAAUAGAUCCUGAAACCGUAUACGUACAAGCAGUAGGAGCUUUUUUUAGAAAAGUGACUGCGUACCUUUUGUAUAAUGGGUCAGCGACUUGUAUUCUGUAGCAAGGUUAACCAAUUAGGGGAGCCGAAGGGAAACCGAGUCUUAAAAGGGCAUACAAAAAAUCUAAUUUUUAUUUAGUUGCAGGAUACAGACCCGAAACCCGGUGAUCUAGCCAUGGACAGGUUGAAGGUUAGGUAAAACUAACUGGAGGACCGAACCGACUAAUGUUGAAAAAUUAGCGGAUGAUUUGUGGCUAGGGGUGAAAGGCCAAUCAAACCGGGAUAUAGCUGGUUCUCCCCGAAAGCUAUUUAGGUAGCGCCUCGUGAAUUCCUCUACGGGGGUAGAGCACUGUUUUGGCUAGGGGGUCAUCCCGACCUACCAAACCAAUGCAAACUCCGAAUACCGUAGAAUGUUAUCACGGGAGACACACAGCGGGUGCUAACGUUCGUUGUGGAAAGGGAAACAACCCAGAUCGCCAGCUAAGGUCCCUAAAUCAUAAUUAAGUGGCAAACGAUGUGGAAAGGCAUAAACAGCCAGGAUGUUGGCUUAGAAGCAGCCAUCAUUUAAAGAAAGCGUAAUAGCUCACUGGUCGAGUCGGUCUGCGCGGAAGAUUUAACGGGGCUAAAUUAUGUACCGAAGCUGCGACAAUAUAAAAUAUAACAAUUUUAAGCUUUCUCAGAAAAUUUUAAAAUAUGUUGAUUUAAAACGCAAAAUUUAUAUUGGGUAGGGGAGCGUUCUGUAAGCCGUAGAAGGUAUAUUGUAAAAUAUAUUGGAGGUAUCAGAAGUGCGAAUGCUGACAUGAGUAACGAUAAAGCAGGUAAAAAACCUGCUCGCCGAAAAACCAAGGUUUCCUGUCCAACGUUAAUCGGGGCAGGGUAAGCCGACACCUAAGGUGAGGCCGAAAGGCGUAAUCGAUGGACAACAGGUUAAUAUUCCUGUGCUUAGUAUUAUUGUGAUGGGGGGACGAAGAAGGUUAGGUCAUCCAGGCGAUGGUAGUCCUGGUUUAAACGUGUAGGCAUGAAAAUUAGGCAAAUCCGAUUUUCUUUAAACUGAGGCGUGAUGACGAUUCUCUAUAAUAAUUAUAGAGAAGAAGUGAUUAAUACCAUACUUCCAAGAAAAGCCUCUAAGCAUUAUAAAAUAAUUCUAAAUCGUACCCCAAACCGACACAGGUGGUUAGGUAGAGUAUACCAAGGCGCUUGAGAGAACCCAGAUGAAGGAACUAGGCAAAAUAGUGCCGUAACUUCGGGAGAAGGCACGCUAACAUGUAAGUGAAAAGAUUUACUCUUGAAGCUGAAGUUAGUCGAAGAUACCAGCUGGCUGCAACUGUUUAUUAAAAACACAGCACUGUGCAAACACGUAAGUGGAAGUAUACGGUGUGACGCCUGCCCGGUGCCGGAAGGUUAAUCGAAGGAGUCAAAAUUGAUUUAAUUUGAUUUGAAGCUCUAGACUGAAGCCCCGGUAAACGGCGGCCGUAACUAUAACGGUCCUAAGGUAGCGAAAUUCCUUGUCGGGUAAGUUCCGACCUGCACGAAUGGCGUAAUGAUGGCCAGGCUGUCUCCAUCUGGGACUCAGUGAAAUUGAAAUCGCUGUGAAGAUGCAGUGUACCCGCGGCAAGACGGAAAGACCCCGUGAACCUUUACUAUAGCUUGACACUGAAUUCUGAAAUUAAAUGUGUAGGAUAGGUGGGAGACUAUGAAAUUAUUGCGCAAGUGAUAAGGGAGUCAACCUUGAAAUACCACCCUUUUAAUAUUAGUAUUCUAACCUAGUACCGUUAACCGGUACAGAGACAGUGUCUGGUGGGUAGUUUGACUGGGGCGGUCUCCUCCCAAAAAGUAACGGAGGAGUACAAAGAUUGGCUAAUUACGGUUGGAAAUCGUAAGGUUAGUAUAAAGAUAUAAGCCAGUUUAACUGUAAGCGUGAUAACGCGAACAGAUGCGAAAGCAGGUCUUAGUGAUCCGGUGGUUCUGUAUGGAAGGGCCAUCGCUCAACAAAUAAAAGGUACUCCGGGGAUAACAGGCUGAUACCGCCCAAGAGUUCAUAUCGACGGCGGUGUUUGGCACCUCGAUGUCGGCUCAUCACAUCCUGGGGCUGAAGCAGGUCCCAAGGGUAUGGCUGUUCGCCAUUUAAAGUGGUACGCGAGCUGGGUUUAGAACGUCGUGAGACAGUUCGGUCCCUAUCUGCCGUGGGCGAAGGAAAAUUGAGGGGGGCUAUUUCUAGUACGAGAGGACCGAAGUGGACGCAUCACUGGUGUUCGGGUUGUCAUGCCAAUGGCAUUGCCCGGUAGCUACAUGCGGAAAAGAUAAGUGUUGAAAGCAUCUAAACACGAAACUUGCCCCAAGAUUAAUUUUCCCUGUGUUUGUUUAUAACAAACACUGAAGGGACGUUGAAGACUACGACGUAGAUAGGCUGGGUGUGUAAGAGUAGUAACACUUUUAGCUAACCAGUACUAAUGACCCAAUCGUCUUAAUCCUGCAACACCAGA